GAAAGUAGGAAAGGGCGCAUGGCGGAUGCCUUGGCUCUCGGAGGCGAUGAAGGACGUGAUAAGCUGCGAUAAGUCACGGGGAGGUGCAAAUAACCUUUGAUCCGUGAAUCUCCGAAUGGGACAACCCGAUAUCCUGAAGGGAUAUCACCUUACAUAGUAAGGAGCUAACGCAGGGAACUGAAACAUCUUAGUACCUGCAGGAAAAGAAAAUAACAAUGAUUCCCCCAGUAGUGGCGAGCGAACGGGGAAUAGCCCAAACCAUUCAUGUUACGGCAUGGAUGGGGUUGUAGGACCACGGCGUUGCAAGAGAUCUUGUGAGAAGAACAGCCUGGAAAGACUGACCAGAGACGGUGACAGUCCGGUAUUCGAAGCAAGACGAAGCAUAGUGGUAUCCUGAGUAGCGCGGAACACGAGGAAUUCUGCGUGAAUCUGCCGGGACCAUCCGGUAAGGCUAAAUACUCCCGAGAGACCGAUAGCGAACCAGUACCGUGAGGGAAAGGUGAAAAGCACUUCGAACAGAAGAGUGAAAGAGUACCUGAAACCGUGCGCCUACAAGCGGUCGGAGCACGAAAGUGUGACGGCGUGCCUUUUGCAUAAUGAACCUACGAGUUACCGUAUCUGGCAAGGUUAAGGGUCACGAGACCUGCAGCCGAAGCGAAAGCGAGUCUGAAGAGGGCGUCGAGUCAGUUGCGGUAGACGCGAAACCAAGUGAUCUACCCUUGGCCAGGAUGAAGUCUGGGUAACACCAGAUGGAGGUCCGCACCAAUAAGCGUUGAAAAGCUUCUGGAUGAGCUGAGGGUAGGGGUGAAAGGCUAAUCAAACUUGGAGAUAGCUCGUACUCCCCGAAAUGCAUUUAGGUGCAGCCUCGCGGGUUACUGAUGUGAGGUAGAGCGACUGAUUGGAUGCGAGGGCUUCACCGCCUAUCAAGUCCUGACAAACUCCGAAUGCGCAUCAGUUUUACCGCGGGAGUGAGGGCAUGGGUGCUAAGGUCCGUGCCCGAGAGGAGAAGAAUCCGGACUAUCAGCUAAGGCCCCGAAAUGACAGCUAAGUUAAACUAACGAAGUCUGAUUGCUAAGACAGCUAGGAUGUUGGCUUGGAAGCAGCCAUUCAUUUAAAGAGUGCGUAACAGCUCACUAGUCGAGGAGUUUGGCGUGGAUAAUAAUCGGGCAUCAAGUAUUCUACCGAAGCUUUGGGAUGUGUAAACAUCGGUAGGGGAGCAUUCCACUCGGCGUUGAAGGUGAGGCGUGAGCCUUGCUGGAGCGUGUGGAAAAGCAAAUGUAGGUAUAAGUAACGAUAAAGGGGGUGAGAAACCCCCUCGCCGAAAGACUAAGGUUUCCUGAUCAACGCUAAUCGGAUCAGGGUAAGUCGGGUCCUAAGGUUCAGCCGAACGGCGAGACCGAUGGCAGAAACGGUUAAUAUUCCGUUACUACCUUUGAGGGUGACGUGGGGACGCAGGAGUGACACCGCCGCCGGCUGACGGAAUAGCCGGUUAAAGAGUGUAGACGUUGAUUUCCGCAGGCAAAUCCACGGAAAGAGUCGAACUUGACAGUAUGGAACGUCCUUCGGGACAAUCCAAUAGUGCGGGUAAGCAGACUGCCGAGAAAAUCCGCUAAACAUAACUUCAGAGGUACCCGUACCGCAAACGGACACACGUAGUCGGGUUGAAUAUACUAAGGCGCUUGAGUGAAUCACGGUUAAGGAACUAGGCAAACUGACCCUGUAACUUCGGGAUAAAGGGUCCCUACCCAGAAAUGGGAGGGCGCAGAGAAUAGGUCCAGGCAACUGUUUAACAAAAACACAGGGCUGUGCCAAUAUGAAAGUAGACGUAUACAGCCUGACACCUGCCCGGUGCUGGAAGGUUAAGAGGAGAUGUCAUCGCAAGAGAAGCAUUGAAUUGAAGCCCCAGUAAACGGCGGCCGUAACUAUAACGGUCCUAAGGUAGCGAAAUUCCUUGUCGGGUAAGUUC
rnacentral:rRNA from 1 species